UUUCUGUGAAGUACAGGAAAGUACUAGUUUUAUUCCUUCAUAAUCAAACUUCACAAACAGCUUGAACUUGUACAAUACCUCAGAGAGUGAAAAUUACAAAAAAAGUGCUGGUAACAUUUACAAAAAUCAUCCUUACUUAGCAACAAUCAGUUUAUUCUUCCACACUUUUUUUAGUCUUUUGUAUUAAGGCUUAAUACUUCUGUAUAAAGUAUAUGCAAGAUAAGUCUUCACAGUUUUUCGAAAAAAGUCACAAUAUUAUGUAACAUAAUGAAGCUUUUACGGCUAUUUUCUUUAUAAUAACAAAUACACAUCACUGGUAAAUAUAUGUGAAAUACAGGGCUUAUUGUAAAAUGGCAAGUAAUGAUACUGUUUGCUGAGAUAAAUUGAUUCCACACGCAUUUAUAGGAAAGUGUUGACAUACCAUUGCUAUAACUGAACAAGAAGGAAAAAGAAAAUGAAAAGCAGAAAACACUCAGGAGAUCGCCUCUAAACUUUGGCACAUCCCAUGAAACAACUUCACAAAUAUGUGACGAGUUUGGAAAUUAUUUUGAAUGGAAGAAGAGCAUCAGUGAAACAUGCUGGGUAGUAAGGUGCUAAAUCAGAUAUUACAAUGCCAGCCUCUUUGCUCUUAUGGCCGGACAUGAAUAAGGUGCAGUUGUAAGACUAAAAGCAUGUACUUUUGUUUUUAACAAGAUGUGAUUAAUACCAGAUUUGAAAAACAACUAUGACCAAUAGUCUCGAGGCGACCUCGUAUAUUCAUGCAUUUUCAUGAAGAGAACGUGACUCUCCUGCAGGUGUGUUACAUCUAACUGUGGUAUGUGAAAGUAAAAGCUGUAUUGUAUGUAAUCAUGGUAUGUGUUUUUUUACUUUUUAUAAAUCAUUUUUUAAAUUUUUUUAUUACUGUUGAAAUUGUGACAAACUUGAUAAGGAGAUGGGAUUGAAAACUGAAUGCAGAACUAAGCCAAGAUAUAUUCACAAGAUCCUCUAAGCUGCACUGGUUUACAGGUCAACAGAUGAGAGCUCUAGCCCUAAAACUUACCAAUUCACCCUCAUGCAUACUGUACGGUUAAAGUGACGCAACAAGCUUGCUUAAAUAGUCCACAUCACGAAAAGCAAUUUGGUUUUUAGUGCAAACACAAUUGGCUGGCUUCAGCUUCUCAAUAAUUACAAGCUCACCAAGGAGAGUACAAGAAGGCACAUACUUAUGCUUCCUCUAACACGCAACAUAUUUAGACAAACCGCAACAUCUUUCAACAACACCACAAAGCUGUGAAAACAGGAAAGCUACUACAUCCAGAUAAUGGUGAAAUUUCACUGAAUUAUUGUCAAAAUUUACACCAAUGACAGACGGUCAGAGUGACAGGUGUUAAGUGACCUUGUGUGAAAAUGGAAACAGGAUUCUCGACCGAUGGAGAUGAGAUAAAGGUGCAUUUAGUUUUUUACUCCAGAUGAUGUGUGUUUUAUUAUUAGACUUUUUAAAGCAUCCUGGACAACAUGGAGAGGUGUGUGAUAGUGGGCAGCUGGUUUGUAUUUUGGUUUUUGGUGGUGUUACGCACAGUACGUGUGUAUGUUUGCUGAAAGAUGGAAUAAUGGCGGCUAUGUGAUGAAGACAAAAUGACAACGUGACCAAUGGGAAUCUUCCCUCAUGCAUCCCAAUGUCUUUCUGAUUUACAAGAGCGGCUUGAUUUGUCCAAAACAACCACAAGGAGGAAACAACAGUUUUUUAAUGUAAUGCCCCUCAAUAUAUUUUUGGACACUAUUACUCAAGGGAUAAGUGCUGGAUAAUAUCAAAAACUGCUACGUACAAUAACACACAAAUGUGCAUUUCUAAAAACCAAUUCUGUACCUUUCAAUACAAAAUAAAAUUAAUCACCAUUUACUCAGCAUUCCCACUGUGGGCAGGCGACGGUCGGAUGAUAUCGGUGAAUUAUAUUGCUUUUUGAAGAACGAAGACCAAAAUAAGUCUAGUGCAAAUCUCUUUUCUGGUUUGAGAAGUGGCAGUUGAUGCAAAAAGAUACAUUUUUUUUCUAUUAGCAACAACCAGAUGAUUGGGAUCAGUGGAUUGCUGUCAAGUGGUAUCCCUUUGUCAGUACAAAAAUGAUUAGAAUAUGCAAGAAUUUGGAAGGAAAAAUAUUCCAUUUAUGGGUAACCCCUCAAUGCAAUUAACCAGCACAAAAGAAAAAAAAAAUCCAUUGUCUUCCAACUGCAGACUGGUGUUAGAGCGGCCAUGUUUUUUGUGCAGUUCUGUCCAUCAAAAACAUCUCUCAACUUGGAAAAUGUUGUCAAAUCUCCCUCCAGUCCAGUGUUUGACAAAUUACAUUACAAAACGUUCCUUGCACAUUUUUCAAAACAGCAGUCAAUACAUUUCAAACAAGCUUGUCUCAUAACAAUAACAUAAUAAUAAUAAUAAUAUAAUAAUAAUAAAAUACAAAGCAACUUGGAGCAUAAAUUAUUCAAAAACAACCGACAACACGUUACUGCAGCAUAUAUUUCAGGGUCUGCUUAGUUGUGAUGUUAAAACUAUACCGUGACUAUAACAGCUCCACUUCCGCCAAGUUUUGAAAAGGGCAAGUGCUUUGCCAGGAUAAUAAUAAAAAUAGCAAGCUAACAUAAGCUGAAAAAAAAAAAAAACAAAAAAAAAAACUAACAAAAUAUACACAUCUCACAAUUCAACUCAAGUGCAUUUUUCUUUACAAAAGCAUCUACAUACAAGAUAUGGCAGCAAUAAGCUUGACAACAACCUACCAGAGGGACCAAUAUUGUCCAAUGUGAUUUUUAUCCUAUUUUCGGAUACGAUUAUACAGCAGAUUCAUCUACUCAGAUCAACCUUAGAAAUAUUGUCAAAUUCUUCCAAACAAUUUAUAUCCACUUUGCAGUACUGUGCUGCUUUUAUAAAAAUAGAUAAAUACAUAUGACCAUAUUUGGACCUCAUUGUAGUUUUCGGUUUGGUUUCCAUUAUUUAGUAAAUUAAACUGUAGUAGAUGGUAGUGGUGGCUGGCACUGAUUAAUGCUUUUGAUCUGAGAUAAGUCAUAUUUUUUCCUUUUUUGAGAAGUUGUGUAUGAUUCGUUCUUUUUUGGCUUCAGAAAAAAACUACAAAUAUGUGCAAACUUAAAAUCUUGGUCCAUCUCAAGUAUAUAAAUGGCUAAAUGCGUUCCAAGUUAAAUUACAAAUUUAGGGAGUCUAAGAACACUAGGACAUUUCACAAACUAAAAAGACAUAGGCAUCAACACUAAACGUGUGCUAAAAGUGUGUAGAAAAUUCAACUGAUGUAACCUCAUUUUUCCUGGAGCAAUGCGUUUUUAUUUAUCCCAUUCAUUUUCUAUUUUUGCUGCAUUUCUUAUAAAAUUCUAUUUUGGUCUACAACAGGCAAGUUAUAACACAACCAAUAGUGAUCAAGUGACAACACAUGGAUAGACUUUGACAAGCACCCUGCAUGAUGAAAAACUCACCGGACUAAAGCGCCUCUAGCCUGAUCACAACAAGAGCAAAACUGUCCUCCGGAAAACUUAAAACAUCUGCACUUUCUUUGGUUUGGGAACAAAAACAUUGUCUAAAACACUUUUGUCCACUGUCUACACAUUGCUAUGGCCCCAUUCACUCUGACUGCUCUGAUGUGCCUGCCUAAACAACAGCACCAAGAAUACCAGCCCGCCUAGAGCUCAGCCCAGAGACCCUCUCAUGACAAGAAAAUCCAUUUCCACUGCAUUGUAAACUAUGCAAUAAUAGACAAUGCACGCUUUCAAAUCCACUAAAGAUGUACAAUUAAAUGCUGGAAAAUUUGAUCUUUUUCUUUUCAAAUGUGGAAAAACAUUAUUGCCAGACAAGAAGCUGGAAUGUUCUGGACAGGAAUGCAUGUGUUUUUACAAUACAGGGUGCAGGACUGAGCUGAGACGACGGUGGCAAUAGUAGACUACUGUAGGUGUAAUCUUGAGGCAGAAAUACACCUCAAAAACAAAAGCCUUCAAAUAAAGUAGCAGAGAAAGAAAGGUUGUACAGACAUGACUGCAGAGAAGUUACCAGCAAAUAGCAAGAACUGCAUGUUUUGAGAAAGCGACGUCACACUAUAUCAUAGACUAUGUUAUGUUAUAGCUUAGAUAGCUGCGUAAAGCUCAUUGAGAACUACAAUCUGGCUGUGUGGAGUGAUGUAGAGACUGAUGCUGUUGUGUAUUACAGUAGGAUGAAAGGGACUCGCUAUAUCACCUUGCCUAUAUUUUCAAUGUAUUCUAUUAAGUCUAUAUGAAACAAAAUGGCUGAAGAGUGUGUCUUUUUAAAUCAUAGCUCUUUUCUCCUAUUGGUUGAAAGUAUGAAAAGUGUGGAGGAUUGGAAAAGUCAAAAUUAAUAAACAAUAAAAGCAAAUUCUAGUAAUUCUUUUUCCCCACCAGUUUGCGGUUAUUUGCUAUUGUUUUAAUUAAAAAUAAAUUUGGCAGAGAACAGUGGCUGGAGAAGGUGAAGGCUGCAGCUCUAGUAAUUGGUCCGCAGGGGAUGUUUUAAUAAGCCAAUCGCAAAGCCUUUUAUCUCAGUCAUUUUUGAAACCACCCAAAUUGUGUGGCUAUUUCUCCACCAUAUUCUCCAAGCUUUUCAAGUCCCAAUAAACCAAUCACUUAAGUCCCUCUGUGCACAACAUUUCUGUAGCAUUCAUUUAUCGCUCGCCAAAAUGUCUUCCAAAUAAUUUUGGGAGAAAAAUAAUAAUGACUUUUUUCUUGCUCUAGGCUUGUCUUUUACAAAUCCCAUAAGAAUAAAAAUGGAACAGAAAUUUGAAAAAAAAAAAAAAAGAAGCUGUCAAUCAUCUGAAAAUAUAUGAAUUGUUAGGGGGAGGAGGCCAGUGGCUUGCAUGUGGAGAGGUUUACUACAAAGGUCAAGAGGUCAUCCAAGGACCAAUCAGAACCUGUUACUGCAGCAGAAAAACCUUCCCGUUACAGUAGGAACCAGAGGAGCCGCUGACAUCACUUGUUGCCAUGCAAACUUGGAAAUAUUCAUUCCCAAAAAUAUACUGGAUUUUUGCCAGGGCAGUGUGUGUGUGUAUUACAGGCUAUGGAUGUGUUUGGCUCCCUCUGGUGGUCAUAAAGCGCCACUGACUCUUCCUCCCCCUCGCAGAUACAGUACAGUACAGUAUAUGGCUUCUUUGCGGAUUGAACGAAAAUGGAAUUUGUAAAAGCCAUGCACACAAUGAGAAAUGACUUUUAAAAUCCUCCAGUUUGUAUAGUAGACAUAAACUAGUAUGAAUAUAUCCUCUGAAUAUCUUAAAGGGUUCUACGGGGAUCAUGACCAGCAGGUUUGUAGUAUAGUAGUAUAAAUAUUACCAUCUGUAUCUGUAUAGCUGUGCAAUAUAGGAGAGAAAAACUAUGACUCCUGUUAUAGUUGCUGUAAUAUGUACUGAUAGGCACUUGAUAGGCAUAUUCCCUAUAUCCCAAAAGGUAUUGUAUACUCUCAAACUAUCUGUAAUCUUUCUGUGUGGACACCAUGACUUAAAUAUAUAUCUGUAUUCACUAUAAUGCGUAGUAUUGUAGAAGGACAAAGAUGCAGUGAACUGUAUUUCAAAGUAAAAGAUGUAUAUGCAGACAGGUAUAGACGGACGUUUCUCUAAAUAAAAUGUUCCAACAUGCCCUAAACCCUUUUACUGUUUUUUUUUUUUUUUUUUUUUUUUUUUUCCAUUUCCUUGUUUUGUUAUGUAUAUUAUGCAUAUAUUAUAGUACACUGUGAAAAUAUUACUAUCCAGUUGCGUGAAGCUAUGUAUAAACAACACCACUAUUAUCACCAGAAAUCAAAAAAGAAGCAGGAAAUAAAAUAUGAAUUAAACAUACGGCAAGCAGGACAACAUUGUAUUGUAGACCCUGUGUUUCUACGCUAAGAUAAACAGAACAGUAAUAUAUUGGAGACACAUUACAAACAGCUGCAGGCUCAAGGCUAUUAUCUACUCAAUAUGUAUUUUGUUCUGGAAAAAUAUGGUACAGUUUGCAAACAUAAACUAUUUUUUCGUCAAACUAACAGCUAGAAGAAGCACGAUUAAAGAGUAUUUUCUGGAUGUUUUUUAACUUUUUUUUGCAAAAUGUAAAAAGAUGACCACGACAAAUAGCUGAAGCAGAAAGAUAUUAUAUUAUAUGAAGAGUGUGAUGCCAAAAGAAAAGGAUUCAUGGACAAAGCCUGGGAUUUUUUUGCUAUAGCACAGUUUUGACACUAGACAAGAGUUCCUCCUCUAUACUUCGAAAGCCCGCUCUGCUAUCAAAAACUCCACUAUGAUACAACAUGACAAGCGGACAAGUUAUUAACGCUCAUCCGGAUCAAAUUGGCUACUUUUGAUAUUCUGACACAAAAAGGAAAAAAAAAAAGUGGUACAAUUGAGUAGUGAACGUUGGAAAUUAUAAAUAAUGACACUGAGCUACUUAACCUACUACUGUAUUUAGACCAAUGAUACAACAAAGCUGGUUGAACUAUAGCUACAGUCAAUAGUGCAUUUUGGAUAUAUGUGUUCACACAAAAAAUAUGCAAAAAAGUUACGGUGCCAUGAAGGAAUGCUAGGUAACACACUGAAAAAUUCUCUGCCUUUGCGAUUUUUUUCCAUUUUUUUUGAUGGUGUUGGCAGUGUUAAACUUGAAACAGACAACUUCAAUGAGCUGUGUGCCUGAAAAAACAUGUGGCAAUACUGUUGGAAAGAGAGAUUUCGGCAGUUGCUUAUAGUAUAAUCUAUUUAGUGCAUUGUCUGUUAAGGCAAGAGAUUCACCCUCCACGUGCUGUGUAGAGACAAAU
ensembl:lncRNA